UACGUAGGGGGCGAGCGUUGUCCGGAAUUAUUGGGCGUAAAGAGCUCGUAGGCGGUUUGUCGCGUCUGCUGUGAAAACUCGGGGCUUAACUCCGGGCCUGCAGUGGGUACGGGCAGACUAGAGUGCGGUAGGGGAGACUGGAAUUCCUGGUGUAGCGGUGAAAUGCGCAGAUAUCAGGAGGAACACCGGUGGCGAAGGCGGGUCUCUGGGCCGUAACUGACACUGAGGAGCGAAAGCGUGGGGAGCGAACAGG
rnacentral:rRNA from 1 species